rnacentral:rRNA from 1 species
AUUGAACGCUGGCGGCAGGCCUAACACAUGCAAGUCGAGCGGAUGAAGGGAGCUUGCUCCUGGAUUCAGCGGCGGACGGGUGGGUAAUGCCUAGGAAUCUGCCUGGUAGUGGGGGAUAACGUCCGGAAACGGGCGCUAAUACCGCAUACGUCCUGAGGGAGAAAGUGGGGGAUCUUCGGACCUCACGCUAUCAGAUGAGCCUAGGUCGGAUUAGCUAGUUGGUGGGGUAAAGGCCUACCAAGGCGACGAUCCGUAACUGGUCUGAGAGGAUGAUCAGUCACACUGGAACUGAGACACGGUCCAGACUCCUACGGGAGGCAGCAGUGGGGAAUAUUGGACAAUGGGCGAAAGCCUGAUCCAGCCAUGCCGCGUGUGUGAAGAAGGUCUUCGGAUUGUAAAGCACUUUAAGUUGGGAGGAAGGGCAGUAAGUUAAUACCUUGCUGUUUUGACGUUACCAACAGAAUAAGCACCGGCUAACUCCGUG